rnacentral:misc_RNA from 1 species
GUAAUUUGAGACUCCAGAAAUUUUAACUCUUCUUCUAGUGUUGCAACAAUGCUCUUUUCUUGUUUCAGUUCAUUAGCAGUAUGUUCUGCUUUCUUAUAGACAUCAACUAGCUCUGUCUGUAAGCUAUCACGAUUUUCAGAAACAGCUACUAGUUCAUCUGACAUAGUGUGCAUUUCUUCAUUUGUUUUCUUUAGAAGCUCCUUAGUAGUGGUCAAC